rnacentral:rRNA from 1 species
GAUGAACGCUGGCGGCGUGCCUAAUACAUGCAAGUCGAGCGAACAGACGAGGAGCUUGCUCCUCUGACGUUAGCGGCGGAAGGGUGAGUAACACGUGGAUAACCUACCUAUAAGACUGGGAUAACUUCGGGAAACCGGAGCUAAUACCGGAUAAUAUGUUGAACCGCAUGGUUCAAUAGUGAAAGACGGUUUUGCUGUCACUUAUAGAUGGAUCCGCGCCGCAUUAGCUAGUUGGUAAGGUAACGGCUUACCAAGGCAACGAUGCGUAGCCGACCUGAGAGGGUGAUCGGCCACACUGGAACUGAGACACGGUCCAGACUCCUACGGGAGGCAGCAGUAGGGAAUCUUCCGCAAUGGGCGAAAGCCUGACGGAGCAACGCCGCGUGAGUGAUGAAGGUCUUCGGAUCGUAAAACUCUGUUAUUAGGGAAGAACAAAUGUGUAAGUAACUAUGCACGUCUUGACGGUACCUAAUCAGAAAGCCACGGCUAACUACGUG